GGCAGCAGCAGCAGCUCUAACAGCAGAAAACUACAUAUUUGAACGCAAAAGAAAAACACCAUCAACGGUGGCAGCAAUUGGAGCGCACCCAUUUAACAAGGCUGAAAUUAUUAACUGUUACUGCACAGUUCAAUUGUCUGAGUCGACUUGAGCACAUCGAUUAGUGCGUUUUCGACGUAGAAUUAUGUCUUACGGCAACAUUUAUAGGGGUACAAACUGUAAAACCGAAAGCAUCGAGAGCGUCACGAAUAUUGCCCACUUUCAAAAGUUCUGAACUCAGCUAGUUUCCAACGGAUUCCGUUUAUUAUUAAAAGCAAAAAUAAUAUACAAACAAAUACGGAAAAAUAUAUCG